CUCCAAGGUCCUAAGUGCAAGCCCUGAUGAGCCCACAGUAUUUUUCUUACAUGAUCAGGCCCCAUGAUCACAUAUAUGGUCAGGUGGUGCUGCUUGCUAGGAGCCCGAGACGAUUAUGAAAACAUGGCAGGAGAAGUGGGGUCAGAGGAUAUGGUA
ensembl:scaRNA